rnacentral:rRNA from 1 species
CGGUUGAUCCUGCCGGAGGCACUGCUAUGGGGGUCCGACUAAGCCAUGCGAGUCAUGGGGGUGUCCCUUCUGGGACACCACCGGCGGACGGCUCAGUAACACGUCGGUAACCUACCCUCGGGAGGGGGAUAACCCCGGGAAACUGGGGCUAAUCCCCCAUAGGUGUGGGGUACUGGAAGGUCCCCACACCGAAAGGGGCCUCGUGCCCGCCCGAGGAUGGGCCGGCGGCCGAUUAGGUAGUUGGUGGGGUAACGGCCCACCAAGCCGAAGAUCGGUACGGGCCAUGAGAGUGGGAGCCCGGAGAUGGACACUGAGACACGGGUCCAGGCCCUACGGGGCGCAGCAGGCGCGAAACCUCCGCAAUGCGGGAAACCGCGACGGGGGGACCCCCAGUGCCGUGGCAACGCCACGGCUUUUCCGGAGUGUAAAAAGCUCCGGGAAUAAKGGCUGGGUAAGGCCGGUGGCAGCCGCCGCGGUAAUACCGGCGGCCCGAGUGKUGGCUGCUAUUAUUGGGCCUAAAGCGUSSGUAGCCGGGCCCGUAAGUCCCUGGCGAAAUCCCACGGCUCAACCGUGGGGCUUGCUGGGGAUACUGCGGGCCUUGGGACCGGGAGAGGCGGGGGGUACCCCUGGGGUAGGGGGUGAAAUCCUAUAAUCCCAGGGGGACCGCCAGUGGCGAAGGCGCCCCGCUGGAACGGGUCCGACGGUGAGGGACGAAGGCCAGGGGAGCGAACCGGAUUAGAUACCCGGGUAGUCCUGGCUGUAAAGGAUGCGGGCUAGGUGUCGGGCGAGCUCCCGAGCUCGCCCGGUGCCGUAGGGAAGCCGUUAAGCCCGCCGCCUGGGGAGUACGGCCGCAAGGCUGAAACUUANAMSSAAUUGGCGGGGGAGCACUACAAGGGGUGGAGCGUGCGGUUUAAUUGGAUUCAACGCCGGGAACCUNAAAAAAAARMGACGGCAGGAUGAAGGCCAGGCUGAAGGUCUUGCCGGACACGCCGAGAGGAGGUGCAUGGCCGCCGUCAGCUCGUACCGUGAGGCGUCCACUUAAGUGUGGUAACGAGCGAGACCCGCGCCCCCAGUUGCCAGUCCCUCCCGCUGGGAGGGAGGCACUCUGGGGGGACCGCCGGCGAUAAGCCGGAGGAAGGAGCGGGCGACGGUAGGUCAGUAUGCCCCGAAACCCCCGGGCUACACGCGCGCUACAAUGGGCGGGACAAUGGGAUCCGACCCCGAAAGGGGAAGGAAAUCCCCUAAACCCGCCCUCAGUUCGGAUCGCGGGCUGCAACUCGCCCGCGUGAAGCUGGAAUCCCUAGUACCCGCGUGUCAUCAUCGCGCGGCGAAUACGUCCCUGCUCCUUGCACUGCACCGCCCGUC